UACGAAGGGGGCUAGCGUUGCUCGGAAUUACUGGGCGUAAAGCGCGUGUAGGCGGCUUGGCAAGUCGGGUGUGAAAGCCCUGGGCUCAACCUAGGAAGUGCACUCGAAACUGCUUCGCUUGAGUGUCGGAGAGGAAAGCGGAAUUCUCGGUGUAGAGGUGAAAUUCGUAGAUAUCGAGAGGAACACCGGUGGCGAAGGCGGCUUUCUGGACGAUAACUGACGCUGAGACGCGAAAGCGUGGGGAGCAAACAGG
rnacentral:rRNA from 1 species